CUUAAUGUUGUUAGGAUUUGC
rnacentral:siRNA from 1 species